rnacentral:rRNA from 1 species
AGUUUGAUUAUGGCUCAGAACGAACGCUGGCGGCAUGGAUUAGGCAUGCAAGUCGAACGAAGCAGCGAUGCUUAGUGGCGCAAGGGUGAGGAACACGUGAGUGACCUACCCACAAGUUGGAACAGCUCCUGGAAACGGGAAUUAAUACCGGAUGUGAUUGAUAGGCUGCAUGGUCUAUUGAUUAAAGCAGCAAUGCGCUUGUGGAUGGGCUCGCGUCCCAUUAGCUAGUUGGUGAGGUAACGGCCCACCAAGGCGAUGAUGGGUAGCUGGUCUGAGAGGACGACCAGCCACACUGGGACUGAGAACUGCCCAGACUCCUACGGGAGGCUGCAGUCGAGAAUUUUGGGCAAUGGACGAAAGUCUGAACCCCAGCAAUGCCGCGUGCGGGAUGAAGGUCUUCGGAUUGUAAACCGCUGUUUGGAGGGACGAAAAUUGACGGUACUUCCAGAGGAAGCCACGGCUAACUACGUGCCAGCAGCAGC